AUUGAACGCUGGCGGCAGGCUUAACACAUGCAAGUCGAGCGGAGCGAGGGUGCUUGCACCUUAGCUUAGCGGCGGACGGGUGAGUAAUGCUUAGGAAUCUGCCUAUUAGUGGGGGACAACAUUCCGAAAGGAAUGCUAAUACCGCAUACGCCCUACGGGGGAAAGCAGGGGAUCUUCGGACCUUGCGCUAAUAGAUGAGCCUAAGUCGGAUUAGCUAGUUGGUGGGGUAAAGGCCUACCAAGGCGACGAUCUGUAGCGGGUCUGAGAGGAUGGUCCGCCACACUGGGACUGAGACACGGCCCAGACUCCUACGGGAGGUAGCAGUGGGGAAUAUUGGACAAUGGGCGGAAGCCUGAUCCAGCCAUGCCGCGUGUGUGAAGAAGGCCUUUUGGUUGUAAAGCACUUUAAGCGAGGAGGAGGCUACUUAGAUUAAUACUCUGGGAUAGUGGACGUUACUCGCAGAAUAAGCACCGGCUAACUCUGUGCCAGCCGCCGCCGCUGUAAG
rnacentral:rRNA from 1 species